rnacentral:rRNA from 1 species
UACGUAGGGUGCAAGCGUUAAUCGGAAUUACUGGGCGUAAAGCGUGCGCAGGCGGUUAUGCAAGAUAGAUGUGAAAUCCCCGGGCUCAACCUGGGAACUGCAUUUGUGACUGCAUAGCUAGAGUACGGUAGAGGGGGAUGGAAUUCCGCGUGUAGCAGUGAAAUGCGUAGAUAUGCGGAGGAACACCGAUGGCGAAGGCAAUCCCCUGGACCUGUACUGACGCUCAUGCACGAAAGCGUGGGGAGCAAACAGG